AGAAUAUAAGAAUUCGUCUCUUAAUUUUAAACUAAAAAAGCUAAGAACUCAUUCUUAAAUAAGAUAUUUAAAAAUUGGUUUUUAGCUUUUUAGUUAAAAAUUAAGAGACGGGUUUUUAUAUUCC
rfam:Brassica rapa chromosome A5, whole genome shotgun sequence.